CAGUAGCCGCGGUAAUACGAAGGGGGCUAGCGUUGCUCGGAAUGACUGGGCGUAAAGGGCGCGUAGGCGGCUUGUACAGUCAGAUGUGAAAUUCCUGGGCUCAACCUGGGGACUGCAUUUGAGACGUAUGGGCUUGAGUGGAGAAGAGGGUCGUGGAAUUUCCAGUGUAGAGGUGAAAUUCGUAGAUAUUGGAAAGAACACCGGUGGCGAAGGCGGCGACCUGGUCUUUAACUGACGCUGAGGCGCGAAAGCGUGGGGAGCAAACAGGAUUAGAUACCCGCGUAGUCCCUGUCUCUUAUAC
rnacentral:rRNA from 1 species